CAGUCGCCGCGGUAAUACGUAGGGUGCAAGCGUUAAUCGGAAUUACUGGGCGUAAAGCGCGCGUAGGUGGUUUGUUAAGUUGGAUGUGAAAUCCCCGGGCUCAACCUGGGAACUGCAUCCAAAACUGGCAAGCUAGAGUAUGGUAGAGGGUGGUGGAAUUUCCUGUGUAGCGGUGAAAUGCGUAGAUAUAGGAAGGAACACCAGUGGCGAAGGCGACCACCUGGACUGAUACUGACACUGAGGUGCGAAAGCGUGGGGAGCAAACAGGAUUAGAUACCCCCGUAGUCCCUGUCUCUUAUAC
rnacentral:rRNA from 1 species